GACAGUAGCAGCAGCAGGGUGCUGCCGGGCGGGCGGUGUCUCCCAGGCGGCCUUGCCCGGAUGUGCUACCCUGACUCAUAGUCGCGCCGCACGCAGGCUCCGCGCUGCUGCCGUGCUCUCCCGUCCCGCUUCGCGCACACGCCUCCCGCGCCUCCCUCCGCGCCAGCGGGGAGGCGGUGGCUGCAGCAGCGGCAGGAGGGGAAGGAGGAGGAGGCCGCGGCGGCACCAUGGAUAAUCUAAGUGAUGCCCUGAAAAAGCUGAAGAUAACAACCACUGACAGCACAGCAGAUAGCUUGGAGGGAUGCUUGGACUGUCUGCUUCAAGCUCUGGCACAAAACAAUAUGGAGACAAGUGAAAAAAUCCAGAAAAGUGGAGUUCUUCAGGUGUUCGGGAGUCUGUUGACGCCACAAUCUUCCUGCACAGCAAAAGUAGCUAACAUCAUAGCAGAAGUAGCCAGAAAUGAAUUUAUGCGAAACCCAUGUGUGGAUGCCGGGUUGAUCCCUCCUUUGGUGCAGCUGUUAAACUGCAAAGACCAGGAAGUAUUGCUUCAAACAGGACGUGCCCUGGGCAAUAUAUGCUACGAUAGCCAUGAGGGCAGGAACGCAGUUGACCAUGCAGGUGGUGCACAUAUUGUAGUAGACCAUAUAAGGUCACUGUGCAGUAAAACAGAUCCAACCAGUGAGAAGCUCUUGACUGUCUUUUGUGGCAUGCUGAUGAACUAUAGCAAUGAGAAUGAUACCCUGCAGUCACAGCUUAUCAAUAUGGGUGUUAUUCCUACAUUAGUGAAAUUGUUGGGUAUUCAUUGCCAAAAUGCAGCUCUGACAGAGAUGUGCCUUGUUGCAUUUGGCAAUUUAGCAGAACUUGAGUCAAGUAAAGAGCAGUUUGCCUACACAAACAUUGCUGAAGAGCUUGUUAAACUGUUCAAGAAGCAAAUAGAGCAUGAUAAAAGAGAGAUGAUUUUUGAAGUUUUGGCUCCCCUGGCAGAAAAUGAUGUCAUUAAACUGCAGCUGGUUGAAGCUGGCUUGGUGGAGUGCCUACUUGAGAUUGUCCAGAAGACUGUGGACAGUGACAAAGAAGAUGAUGUUGCAGAGCUUAAAACAGCUUCUGAUCUUAUGGUUUUAUUAUUGCUUGGAGAUGAAUCCAUGCAAAAGUUAUUUGAAGGAGGAAAAGGCAGCGUAUUCCAAAGAGUACUUUCGUGGAUUCCUUCCAACAGCCAUCAGCUACAGCUUGCAGGAGCAUUGGCUAUUGCAAAUUUUGCCAGAAAUGAUGGAAACUGCAUCCAUAUGGUGGAUAAUGGCAUAGUUCAAAAGCUGAUGGAUCUGCUAGACAGACAUGUGGAGGACGGAAAUGUAACUGUGCAGCAUGCUGCACUGAGUGCUCUCAGAAACCUGGCUAUUCCUGUUGUAAAUAAGGCUAAGAUGCUAUCAGCUGGUGUUGCAGAAGCUGUAUUGAAAUUUCUCAGAUCGGAGAUGCCCCCUGUUCAGUUCAAGCUGCUGGGAACAUUAAGAAUGUUAAUAGAUGCACAAGCAGAAGCCGCUGAACAGCUGGGCAAAAAUAUCAAACUGGUGGAACGGUUGGUGGAAUGGUGUGAAGCCAAGGAUCACGCAGGUGUGAUGGGGGAAUCCAACAGACUACUUUCCGCACUUAUACGACACAGCAAAUCUAAAGAUGUAAUUAGGACCAUUGUACAGAGUGGAGGCAUAAAGCAUCUAGUAACCAUGGCAACCAGUGAACAUGUAAUAAUGCAAAACGAAGCUCUUGUUGCACUGGCAUUAAUAGCGGCUUUAGAGUUAGUCACUGCUGAAAAGGAUCUCGAAAACGCUCAGCUUGUUCAGAUUCUACACAGACUGCUCUCAGACGACAGGAGUGCUCCAGAAAUAAAAUACAACUCCAUGGUGUUGAUCUGUGCCCUUAUAGGAUCUGAGCCUCUUCAAAAGGAAGUGCAGAGCAUGGCGUUUCUAGAAGUCAUAUCAAAACUCCGCAGCCAUGAGAACAAAACUGUUGCCCAGCAGGCCUCACUAACAGAGCAGAGACUUGCUGUAGAAAGCUGA
ensembl:lncRNA